rnacentral:rRNA from 1 species
CUAACUUCUUUCAAUAAUAUGUCAUUUGUUUAGUGUAUAAAAAAGAUCGAAAGAUAGAUAUACUGAAUAUAUAAAAAUAUUUAGGUGCCUAUAUCGGUGGUGUCCACCUCUUCCCAUUCCGAACAGAGAAGUUAAGCCCACCAGAGCCGAUGGUACUGCGGUAACACGUGGGAGAGUAGGUCGGUGCCAAAU